CUGCUCGCUUGGGCAGCACAUAUACUAACAUUGGAACGAUACGGAGAAGAUUAGCAUGGCCCCUGCCCAAGGAUGAGAUGCAAAUUCGUAAAGCGUUCCAUAUUUUU